UACAGAGGGUGCAAGCGUUAAUCGGAAUUACUGGGCGUAAAGCGCGCGUAGGCGGCUGAUUAAGUCGGAUGUGAAAUCCCCGGGCUCAACCUGGGAACUGCAUUCGAUACUGAUCGGCUAGAGUAUGAGAGAGGGAGGUAGAAUUCCACGUGUAGCGGUGAAAUGCGUAGAUAUGUGGAGGAAUACCGGUGGCGAAGGCGGCCUCCUGGCUUAAUACUGACGCUGAGGUGCGAAAGCGUGGGGAGCAAACAGG
rnacentral:rRNA from 1 species